GAUUAACGCUAGCGGCAGGCAUAAUACAUGCAAGUUGAACGGGAUUAGGUUUAGCAAUAGACUUAUGAGAGUGGCGCACGGGUGCGUAACACGUAUGCAACCUGCCCCUGACGGGAGGAUAGCCUCUCGAAAGAGAGAUUAAUAUUCCAUAACAUAUAGAUUAAGCAUUUAGUUUAUAUCAAAGCUCCGGCGGUCAGGGAUGGGCAUGCGGCUGAUUAGGUAGUUGGUGAGGUAACGGCGCACCAAGCCGACGAUCAGUAGGGGGUCUGAGAGGAUGGCCCCCCACACUGGUACUGAGACACGGACCAGACUCCUACGGGAGGCAGCAGUAGGGAAUAUUGGUCAAUGGGGGCAACCCUGAACCAGCCAUGCCGCGUGCAGGAAGACUGCCCUAUGGGUUGUAAACUGCUUUUGUACGGGAAGAAAUCAAUCUACGUGUAGGUUGUUGACGGUACCGUGAGAAUAAGGAUCGGCUAACUUCGUGCCAGCAGCCGCCGUAAAAC
rnacentral:rRNA from 1 species